UUACCAUUAAACGACUUUUAUUCUACACUUUAUUCCGUUUCCAUGUCUAUGAAUCUUAAUCAAAUCUCUGUCACAUGAUCGUGUAACUAUCUUUGUUAUAUUCCCGCUCUAAGGAAGGGAUGUUCUGUUUUGCCCCUGUUUGUCCGUACAUCCGUCUAUCCUUUUGUCCCAUAAAAUUUUCGUCGCAUUUUUAUAAGGCAUAAUAAAAUCAGACCUUCCUGAAAUUUGUGAUAUAGCUUCAUGUCACCAUGCUAUACCAUGUGUCCUUUCGAUUGAUGUGUUUGAGCUUUUGAUUUUUAUAUUUGAUAAGGGACUUUCAAUUUUGUAUUUUCCUUGGGGUUCAGUAUUUUUGUGAUUUUUACUUUAUUCAAUU
rnacentral:lncRNA from 1 species